rnacentral:rRNA from 1 species
UACAGAGGUCUCGAGCGUUGUUCGGAUUUACUGGGCGUAAAGGGUGCGUAGGCGGUGGCGUAAGUCGGUUGUGAAAUUUCGGGGCUCAACCUCGAAACUGCACCCGAUACUGCGCCGCUUGAGGACUGUAGAGGAGUGUGGAAUUCACGGUGUAGCAGUGAAAUGCGUAGAUAUCGUGAGGAAGACCAGUGGCGAAGGCGACACUCUGGGCAGUUCCUGACGCUGAGGCACGAAGGCCAGGGGAGCAAACAGG